rnacentral:rRNA from 1 species
UGGGGAAUUUUGGACAAUGGGCGCAAGCCUGAUCCAGCAAUGCCGCGUGCAGGAUGAAGGCCUUCGGGUUGUAAACUGCUUUUGUACGGAGCGAAAAGGUCUGCCCUAAUACGGUGGGCUCAUGACGGUACCGUAAGAAUAAGCACCGGCUAACUACGUGCCAGCAGCCGCGGUAAUACGUAGGGUGCAAGCGUUAAUCGGAAUUACUGGGCGUAAAGCGUGCGCAGGCGGUUAUGCAAGACAGAGGUGAAAUCCCCGGGCUCAACCUGGGAACUGCAUGUGUGACUGAAUAGCUAGAGUACGGUAGAGGGGGAUGGAAUUCCGCGUGUAGCAGUGAAAUGCGUAGAUAUGCGGGGGAACACCGAUGGCGAAGGCAAUCCCCUGGACCUGUACUGACGCUCAUGCACGAAAGCGUGGGGAGCAAACA